AGGGUGUCUUCCUCCAUCUUCGAUUUGGAAAUACCAGAAAACAAGGUCUAGAUCAUUAAUAGAAUGUGCAAAUUUUUAGAGUAGUAGGUAAUGCAUGUUUAAGAACUGCCACUUCGAUAUAGAAAAUGACAUGUUUUAUCAUAUUUAUGGUUGUAUUUUACAAAAAACAGAAAACUUUUGUUUGAUCAAUUUUUUUUCAACUUUGCCACAUAAGGGAAGGCAACUCAAAUGCAAGAGCAGAUAAUUCAGAUUAAGGUACUUUUACAAUAGAAUGUGUUAGGAAUUUACCUU
rnacentral:lncRNA from 1 species